AGUGAACGCUGGCGGUAGGCCUAACACAUGCAAGUCGAACGGCAGCACAGUAAGAGCUUGCUCUUACGGGUGGCGAGUGGCGGACGGGUGAGGAAUACAUCGGAAUCUACUUUUUCGUGGGGGAUAACGUAGGGCAACUUACGCUAAUACCGCAUACGACCUACGGGUGAAAGCAGGGGAUCUUCGGACCUUGCGCGAAUGAAUGAGCCGAUGUCGGAUUAGCUAGUUGGCGGGGUAAAGGCCCACCAAGGCGACGAUCCGUAGCUGGUCUGAGAGGAGGAUCAGCCACACUUGACCUGAUACACGUUCCAGUCUCCGUCGGCAGGCAGCCGUCGGGAUUAUUGGACAAUGCGCGCACUCCUGAUCCAGCCAUCCCGCCUCGGUCAAGAAGCCCUUCGGGUUGUAAAGCCCUUUUGUUGGGAAAGAAAUGCAGCACGUUAAUACCCCGCUGUUCUGGCGGUACCCAAUGAAUAAGCACCGGCUAACUUCGUG
rnacentral:rRNA from 1 species